UACGGGGGGGGCAAGCGUUGUUCGGAAUUACUGGGCGUAAAGGGCUCGUAGGUGGCCAACUAAGUCAGACGUGAAAUCCCUCGGCUUAACCGGGGAACUGCGUCUGAUACUGGAUGGCUUGAGUUCGGGAGAGGGAUGCGGAAUUCCAGGUGUAGCGGUGAAAUGCGUAGAUAUCUGGAGGAACACCGGUGGCGAAGGCGGCAUCCUGGACCGGCACUGACACUGAGGAGCGAAAGCCUGGGGAGCAAACGGG
rnacentral:rRNA from 1 species